rnacentral:rRNA from 1 species
GACGAACGCUGGCGGCGUGCUUAACACAUGCAAGUCGAACGGAAAGGCCCUGCUUUUGUGGGGUGCUCGAGUGGCGAACGGGUGAGUAACACGUGAGUAACCUGCCCUUGACUUUGGGAUAACUUCAGGAAACUGGGGCUAAUACCGGAUAGGAGCUCCUGCUGCAUGGUGGGGGUUGGAAAGUUUCGGCGGGUGGGGAUGGACUCGCGGCUUAUGAGCUUGUUGGUGGGGUAGUGGCUUACCAAGGCUUUGACGGGUAGCCGGCAUGGGAGGGUGAACGGGGACAUUGGGACUGAGAGACGGACCAGACUCGUACGGGAGGCAGCAGUGGGGAAUAUUGCACAAUGGGCGGAAGCCGGAUGCAGCAACGCCGCGUGCGGGAUGACGGCCUUCGGGUUGUAAACCGCUUUCGCCUGUGACGAAGCGUGAGUGACGGUAAUGGGUAAAGAAGCACCGGCUAACUACGUG